CCUACGGGAGGCAGCAGUGGGGAAUAUUGGACAAUGGGGGGAACCCUGAUCCAGCGACGCCGCGUGAGUGAAGAAGUAUUUCGGUAUGUAAAGCUCUAUCUGCAGGGAAGAAAAUGACGGUACCUGACUAAGAAGCCACGGCUAACUACGUGCCAGCAGGCGCGGUAAUACGCAGGGGGCCAGCGUUAUCCGGAUUUACUGGGGGUAAAGGGAGCGUAGACGGUUCAGCAAGUCUGAUGUGAAAGGUCGGGGCCCAACCCCGGGACUGCAUUGGAAACUGUUGGACUGGAGUACAGGAGAGGUGAGCGGAAUUCGUGGUGUAGCGGUGAAAUGCGUAGAUAUCAGGAGGAACAC
rnacentral:rRNA from 1 species